rnacentral:rRNA from 1 species
AAGAAAGUAGAAAAGGGCGCAAGGCGGAUGCCUUGGCUCACGGAGGCGAUGAAGGACGUGAUAAGCUGCGAUAAGCCUCGGGUAGAUGCAAAUAAUCUCUGAUCCGAGGAUUUCCGAAUGGGACAACCCGUCUGUCUGAAGGACAGUCACUAUCUUAAGAUAGAGCUAACGCAGGGAACUGAAACAUCUUAGUACCUGCAGGAAGAGAAAAUAAACAAUGAUUCCCCUAGUAGUGGCGAGCGAACGGGGAAGAGCCCAAACCAUGACUGUAGCAAUGCAGCCGUGGGGUUGUAGGACCACGCUGUGGCACGAUGCUUGUGAGAGGAACGUUCUGGAAAGAACGACCAUAGAGGGUGACAGUCCCGUACUCGAAGCACGCUGAAGCCUAGUGGUAUCCUGAGUAACGCGGAACACGAGGAAUUCUGCGCGAAUCCGCC